GGACGAACCCUUGGAGAGAUCCGCAUCAAGCGGACGCCGAAGGCGCAAAAAAAUCUUAGAUUUUUGAAACGCUCAGGCAAAAGGACAGGGGCAGGAAA
rfam:Gallibacterium anatis TMN179, complete genome.